CCUACGGGCGGCAGCAGUGGGGAAUAUUGCACAAUGGGCGCAAGCCUGAUGCAGCCAUGCCGCGUGUGUGAAGAAGGCCUUCGGGUUGUAAAGCACUUUCAGCGGGGAGGAAGGCGUUAAGGUUAAUAACCUUGGCGAUUGACGUUACCCGCAGAAGAAGCACCGGCUAACUCCGUGCCAGCAGCCGCGGUAAUACGGAGGGUGCAAGCGUUAAUCGGAAUUACUGGGCGUAAAGCGCACGCAGGCGGUCUGUCAAGUCGGAUGUGAAAUCCCCGGGCUCAACCUGGGAACUGCAUUCGAAACUGGCAGGCUAGAGUCUUGUAGAGGGGGGUAGAAUUCCAGGUGUAGCGGUGAAAUGCGUAGAGAUCUGGAGGAAUACCGGUGGCGAAGGCGGCCCCCUGGACAAAGACUGACGCUCAGGUGCGAAAGCGUGGGGAGCAAACAGGAUUAGAUACCCAUGUAGUC
rnacentral:rRNA from 1 species